rnacentral:rRNA from 1 species
UACGUAGAUGACAAGCGUUGUCCGGAUUUACUGGGCGUAAAGAGCGCGCAGGCGGUCGUUCAAGUCGAGUGUGAAAGCCCCCGGCUCAACUGGGGAGGGUCACUCGAGUACUGAUCGACUCGAAGGCGAGGAGAGGGUAGUGGAAUUCCCGGUGUAGUGGUGAAAUGGCGUCAGAUAUCGGGAGGAACACCAGUGGCGAAGGCGACUACCUGGCCUGUUCUUGACGCGUGAGGCGGACGAAAAGCAUAGGGGGAGCAAACGGGG